rnacentral:rRNA from 1 species
GAUGAACGCUGGCGGCGUGCUUAACACAUGCAAGUCGAACGAAGCACUUUAUUUGAUUUCCUUCGGGACUGAUUAUUUUGUGACUGAGUGGCGGACGGGUGAGUAACGCGUGGGUAACCUGCCUUGUACAGGGGGAUAACAGUUGGAAACGGCUGCUAAUACCGCAUAAGCGCACAGCAUCGCAUGAUGCAGGGUGAAAAACUCCGGUGGUAUAAGAUGGACCCGCGUUGGAUGAGCUAGUUGGUGAGGUAACGGCCCACCAAGGCGACGAUCCAUAGCCGGCCUGAGAGGGUGACCGGCCACAUUGGGACUGAGACACGGCCCAAACUCCUACGGGAGGCAGCAGUGGGGAAUAUUGCACAAUGGGCGAAAGCCUGAUGCAGCGACGCCGCGUGAGCGAAGAAGUAUUUCGGUAUGUAAAGCUCUAUCAGCAGGGAAGAUAAUGACGGUACCUGAUUAAGAAGCACCGGCUAAAUACGUG